GUGAUAGGUAUACUUUAGGAGGGGCUUGCGCCAUAUUAGUUAGUUGGUAGGGUAAUGGCCUACCAAGACGAUGAUGUGUAGCUGGACUGAGAGGUUGAACAGCCACAUUGGGACUGAGACACGGCCCAAACUCCUACGGGAGGCAGCAGUAGGGAAUUUUCGGCAAUGGAGGAAACUCUGACCGAGCAACGCCGCGUGAACGACGAAGUACUUUGGUAUGUAAAGUUCUUUUAUCAAGGAAGAAAAGCAAGUGGUGAACCAUUUGUUUGCCGGUACUUGAUGAAUAAGCCCCGGCUAAUUAUGUGCCAGCAGCCGCGGUAAGACAUAAGGGGCAAGUGUUAUCCGGAAUUAUUGGGCGUAAAGGGUGCGUAGGCGGUCUAGUAAGUCAGUGGUGUAAUGGCAACGCUCAACGUUGUCCGGCUAUUGAAACUGCUAAACUUGAGUUAGAUAGAGGCGAGUGGAAUUCCAUGUGUAGCGGUAAAAUGCGUAAAUAUAUGGAGGAACACCAGAGGCGUAGGCGGCUCGCUGGGUCUUAACUGACGCUGAGGCACGAAAGCGUGGGGAGCAAACAGGAUUAGAUACCCUGGUAGUCCACGCCGUAAACGAUGAGUACUAAGUGUCGGGUUAAACCGGUACUGAAGUUAACACAUUAAGUACUCCGCCUGAGUAGUACGUACGCAAGUAUGAAACUUAAAGGAAUUGACGGGACUCCGCACAAGCGGUGGAUCAUGUUGUUUAAUUCGAAGAUACCCGAAAAACCUUACCAGGUCUUGACAUGUUUUUGCGAAACGGUAGUAAUAUCGUGGAGGUUAUCAGAAACACAGGUGGUGCAUGGUUGUCGUCAGCUCGUGUCGUGAGAUGUUAGGUUAAGUCCUAAAACGAGCGAAACCCUUAUCGUUAGUUGCCAGCACGUUAUGGUGGGGACUUUAACGAGACUGCCAGUGAUAAAUUGGAGGAAGGUGAGGAUCACGUCAAAUCAGCAUGCCCCUUAUGACCUGGGCUACAAACGUGAUACAAUGGCUGUUACAAAGGGUAGCUGAAACGCAAGUUCUUGGCCAAUCCCCAAAAACAGUCUCAGUCCGGAUUGAAGUCUGCAACUCGACUUCAUGAAGUGGAAUCGC
rnacentral:rRNA from 1 species